UUGUGGCUCAGUGGUAGAGUGCUUGUCUAGCAAGUGCAAGGCCCUGGGUUCGAUCCUCAGCAUAAA
rnacentral:tRNA from 1 species